rnacentral:rRNA from 1 species
GGGGCCCUAAUACAUGGCAAGGUCGAACGAACUCUGGUAUUGAUUGGUGCUUGCAUCAUGAUUUACAUUUGAGUGAGUGGCGAACUGGUGAGUAACACGUGGGAAACCUGCCCAGAAGCGGGGGAUAACACCUGGAAACAGAUGCUAAUACCGCAUAACAACUUGGACCGCAUGGUCCGAGCUUGAAAGAUGGCUUCGGCUAUCACUUUUGGAUGGUCCCGCGGCGUAUUAGCUAGAUGGUGGGGUAACGGCUCACCAUGGCAAUGAUACGUAGCCGACCUGAGAGGGUAAUCGGCCACAUUGGGACUGAGACACGGCCCAAACUCCUACGGGAGGCAGCAGUAGGGAAUCUUCCACAAUGGACGAAAGUCUGAUGGAGCAACGCCGCGUGAGUGAAGAAGGGUUUCGGCUCGUAAAACUCUGUUGUUAAAGAAGAACAUAUCUGAGAGUAACUGUUCAGGUAUUGACGGUAUUUAACCAGAAAGCCACGGCUAACUACGUGCCAGCAGCCGCGGUAAUACGUAGGUGGCAAGCGUUGUCCGGAUUUAUUGGGCGUAAAGCGAGCGCAGGCGGUUUUUUAAGUCUGAUGUGAAAGCCUUCGGCUCAACCGAAGAAGUGCAUCGGAAACUGGGAAACUUGAGUGCAGAAGAGGACAGUGGAACUCCAUGUGUAGCGGUGAAAUGCGUAGAUAUAUGGAAGAACACCAGUGGCGAAGGCGGCUGUCUGGUCUGUAACUGACGCUGAGGCUCGAAAGUAUGGGUAGCAAACAGGAUUAGAUACCCUGGUAGUCCAUACCGUAAACGAUGAAUGCUAAGUGUUGGAGGGUUUCCGCCCUUCAGUGCUGCAGCUAACGCAUUAAGCAUUCCGCCUGGGGAGUACGGCCGCAAGGCUGAAACUCAAAGGAAUUGACGGGGGCCCGCACAAGCGGUGGAGCAUGUGGUUUAAUUCGAAGCUACGCGAAGAACCUUACCAGGUCUUGACAUACUAUGCAAAUCUAAGAGAUUAGACGUUCCCUUCGGGGACAUGGAUACAGGUGGUGCAUGGUUGUCGUCAGCUCGUGUCGUGAGAUGUUGGGUUAAGUCCCGCAACGAGCGCAACCCUUAUUAUCAGUUGCCAGCAUUAAGUUGGGCACUCUGGUGAGACUGCCGGUGACAAACCGGAGGAAGGUGGGGAUGACGUCAAAUCAUCAUGCCCCUUAUGACCUGGGCUACACACGUGCUACAAUGGAUGGUACAACGAGUUGCGAACUCGCGAGAGUAAGCUAAUCUCUUAAAGCCAUUCUCAGUUCGGAUUGUAGGCUGCAACUCGCCUACAUGAAGUCGGAAUCGCUAGUAAUCGCGGAUCAGCAUGCCGCGGUGAAUACGUUCCCGGGCCUUGUACACACCGCCCGUCACACCAUGAGAGUUUGUAACACCCAAAGUCGGUGGGGUAACCUUUUAGGAACCAGCCGCCUAAAGGUGACCAAC